GUCCUUGUGGCACGAUGGUUAAGCUCUCAGCUGCUAACUGAAAGGUUGGUGGUUCAAACCCACCCAGCAGCU
rnacentral:tRNA from 1 species